CCAGUCGGCCGGGCAGCCGCGCUUCACCAAUGCCGAAAGGCGGUGAGGUGAGGAAAGUCCGGGCUCCACGGAAACACGGUGCCGGAUAACGUCCGGCGGGGGUGACCCCAGGGAAAGUGCCACAGAGAGUAGACCGCGCCGACGUGCCCGCCUGGGGCACAUUCGCGGCGUAAGGGUGAAAGGGUGGGGUAAGAGCCCACCGCGGACCCGGCAACGGGGACGGCAUGGUAAACCCCACCGGGAGCAAGACCGAAUAGGGACGACACGGGGCGUGCGCAAGCACGUCACAGGCCUGUUUCCGGGCCCGUUGUCCGGGUGGGUUGCGAGAGGCGACGCGCGAGCGGCGUCCCAGAUGAAUGGCUGCCACGUUCCGGCGCCCCGCAAGGGGUUCCGGGGCCAUACAGAACCCGGCUUACAGGCCGACUGGCAAA
rnacentral:RNase_P_RNA from 1 species